ACUAUUUUGGCAGAAAAUUGUUUUAAAUUUAGAAUUUAAUUAUGUAUUAUAAUAUUUACAAAUAGUA
rnacentral:tRNA from 1 species